CAGAUGGGGAGCCAGGGGCAUAAACUGGGAUCCUUGCGCUUUGUACUAUGUGCUCUUAACCCGAUGCAUCAUGGCCUGACCCCAACAAUAAUUGCUUUUACUAAAGCAUAUGCAAAGUACCUUGAGGUGCCCCUUCCACUAUUCUCUUCCACUGUUGGCCAAAGUAGUCCUGCAUUGCAGCCUUUGUAUCUCUGAGCUAUAAAGGGCCCAGGUUCAAGCCCCCAGCCCCCACCUAUAGGAGGGAAGCUUCUCAAGUGGUGAAGCAAUGCUGCAAGUGUCUUUCUUUCUCUUUCCCGCUCUAUCGUUCCCUUCCCCCUCAAUUUCUCUCUGUGUUUUGAAAAAAAGAAAGUCAUAUAAUUUUUAAAAAGAGAGAAUAUAACACACAAAUCUAAAAAUGCAUAAACCUCAGCCAUUCUCAGUUUAACUGUGUUACGCAAGGCCCUUCUUGCAGCCUGAGCUUGACUCUGCCCUACAAGAAUGUUAUUUGGGAAACUUCAUCAGGAAAAGGGUCUGAAAUCACUCAGGCUGCCACAGACCUAACAGCUGCUAUAUACAAAUCUUCUCUACCCCAAGACUUAGGCAUGUGCCACCUCUAAGCUUCUGGACUCUGCCUCCAUGAUUCAUUCCUAAUCUAGAUCAGAAUUCCUCCUUUCCUCUAGUCUAGUUUGUGUUUGACACCCUGCUCUGUUCUCUCUGCCCCAAAUAGGCUCUUCCUCUGCUUCCCUCUAUGGACUUUAUUGAUUUUCCUCUUACAUAUAAGUCUGUAAUGCAUCUGAACUUGAUCCUGACUCUAGCUUGCACGUUUUACAGAGAAUGAAGUUGUAAAUGAAGUUGUCUUUCAUCCUCUAGACACUGGUUUCUACUCAGACUGUUCCUGUGGCACUUGCUUUCUUACUGUGCAGUUCUGAUCUCAACCCUGAUAUUCCAGUCUUUCUGCUGACUAUGUGAGUUUAUUAUAAACUCUUCUAGGCCUUUAUCAAUUGCAUCAGCCGGGGUUGGCUUCCAUGGCCUGCAAUCAAAGAUCUCUAAAAUUUUGCAUCCCUGGAGAGUCAAAUGGUUAGGUCUAACUCUUCGGGGUGAAGGUGGAAGAAAGAAAUACUGCUUCCAUCCUUGGAAUAUCACAGUGCAUAGGUUUCUAUUGGUGAAAUAUUAAUUUGCCAUAUUUAACUCCUUUAUACAGGACACUAGGAAUGCCCAUCUUCAGGCCUUGUCUACAAAUUGCGCAACAUGAAUAGUAAUAAAGUUGUUCAUAAUGGAGGUACUGAGCAUAGAUAAGAAGACAAAAUUCACAUACAAGGAUUAUUUGAGAAUUCAAGAAACUGCAGUUAGAAUGACCCACCCAUACUCAACCUGUCCCACAAAUGGCUGAGAUGAUCAAGGACACAUUUUAACUGGGAGUCCAAGCUCUGGAGGUCGGUGAUGGAAAAUUGUGAGGAUGUCACUGUAACUAAGAGCACCAUAAUUACAACUUGAGUGGUUCCUGCAGCUAGUGUAAUCCCCAGAAUGCUCCCCAAGCUGGGACCACCUACUCACCUCACAGGGAAGGAGUGAUAGAAACAAAAAUCAACUACAAAUUUAUCAAGGACCUGGAUGUUAGAACAGAAACUAUCAAAUAUACUUAGAGGAAAACAUUGGUGGAACACUUUCCCACCUUAACCUCAAGGACAACUUUGAUGAAACAAACACAACUGCAAGGAAGACUAAAGCAGAAAGAAAUCAAUGGGACUACAUCAAAUUGAAAAGCUUCUGCACAGCCAAAGAAACUACCACACAAAGAGACCCCUUACAGAAUGGGAGAAGAUCUUCACAUGUCAUACAUCAGACAAGAGACUAAUAACCAAAAUAUACAAAGAGCUCAGCAAACUUAGCAACAAAAAAAGCAAAUGACCCCAUCCAAAAAUGGGCAGAGGAAAUGAACAAAACAUUCACUUACAGGAGAUCAAAAAGGCUAACAAACAUAUGAAAAAUUGCUCCAGGUCGCUGAUUGUCAGAGAAAUGCAAAUAAAGACAGCAUUGAGAUACCACCUCACUCCUGUGAGAAUGGCAUACAUCAAAAAGACAGCAGCAACAAAUGCUGGAGAGGUGGUGGGGAAAAAGAAAUCCUUCUGCACUGCUAGUGGGAAUGUAAAUUGGCCCAGCCUCUGUGGAGAGCAUCUGGAGAACUCUCACAAGGCUAGACAUGGACCUUCCAUAUGACCCAGUAAUUCCUCUACUGGGGAUAUAUCCCAAGGACUCCGUAACACCCAACCAAAAAGAUAUGUGUACUCCUAUGUUCAUAGCAGCACAAUUCAUAAUAGCUAAAACCUGGAAGGAACCCAAGUACCCAACAAUAGAUGAGUGGCUGAGAAAGCUGUGGUAUAUUUACACAAUGGAAUAUUACACAGCUAUUAAGAACAAUGAACCCAUCUUCUCUGACCCAACUUGGAUGGAGCUAGAAGGAAUUAGGUUAAGUGAACUAAGGAAGAUAAAGACAAAUAUGAGAUGAUCCCACUCAUAAACAGAAGUUGAGAAAGAAUACCAGAAAGGGAAACUCAAAGCAGGAUCUGACUAAAUUUGUAGUAGGGC